UCNAUAGCUGCUAGUUGUGCGGGUUUAGACCCGCAGCGGAAAGCUCAGUAACACGUGGCCAAGCUACCCUGUGGACGGGAAUACUCUCGGGAAACUGAGGCUAAUCCCCAAUAACGCUUUGCUCCUGGAAGGGGCAAAGCCGGAAACGCUCCGGCGCCACAGGAUGCGGCUGCGGUCGAUUAGGUAGACGGUGGGGUAACGGCCCACCGUGCCCAUAAUCGGUACGGGUUGUGAGAGCAAGAGCCCGGAGACGGAAUCUGAGACAAGAUUCCGGGCCCUACGGGGCGCAGCAGGCGCGAAACCUUUACACUGUACGAAAGUGCGAUAAGGGGACUCCGAGUGUGAAGGCAUAGAGCCUUCACUUUUGUACACCGUAAGGUGGUGCACGAAUAAGGACUGGGCAAGACCGGUGCCAGCCGCCGCGGUAAUACCGGCAGUCCGAGUGAUGGCCGAUCUUAUUGGGCCUAAAGCGUCCGUAGCUGGCUGAACAAGUCCGUUGGGAAAUCUGUCCGCUUAACGGGCAGGCGUCCAGCGGAAACUGUUCAGCUUGGGACCGGAAGACCUGAGGGGUACGUCUGGGGUAGGAGUGAAAUCCUGUAAUCCUGGACGGACCGCCGGUGGCGAAAGCGCCUCAGGAGAACGGAUCCGACAGUGAGGGACGAAAGCUAGGGUCUCGAACCGGAUUAGAUACCCGGGUAGUCCUAGCUGUAAACGAUGUCCGCUAGGUGUGGCGCAGGCUACGAGCCUGCGCUGUGCCGUAGGGAAGCCGAGAAGCGGACCGCCUGGGAAGUACGUCUGCAAGGAUGAAACUUAAAGGAAUUGGCGGGGGAGCACUACAACCGGAGGAGCCUGCGGUUUAAUUGGACUCAACGCCGGACAUCUCACCAGCCCCGACAGUAGUAAUGACGGUCAGGUUGAUGACCUUACCCGAGGCUACUGAGAGGAGGUGCAUGGCCGCCGUCAGCUCGUACCGUGAGGCGUCCUGUUAAGUCAGGCAACGAGCGAGACCCGCACUCCUAAUUGCCAGCAGUACCCUUUGGGUAGCUGGGUACAUUAAGGUGGACUGCCGCUGCC
rnacentral:rRNA from 1 species